AGCGAACGCUGGCGGCAGGCCUAACACAUGCAAGUCGAACGAACCCUUCGGGGUUAGUGGAGGACGGGUGAGUAACACGUGGGAACGUGCCUUUAGGUUCGGAAUAACUCAGGGAAACUUGUGCUAAUACCGAAUGUGCCCCUCGUGGGAAAGAUUUAUCGCCUUUAGAGCGGCCCGCGUCUGAUUAGCUAGUUGGUGAGGUAAUGGCUCACCAAGGCUACGAUCAGUAGCUGGUCUGAGAGGAUGACCAGCCACAUUGGGACUGAGACACGGCCCAAACUCCUACGGGAGGCAGCAGUGGGGAAUCUUGCGCAAUGGGCGAAAGCCUGACGCAGCCAUGCCGCGUGGAUGAUGAAGGUCUUAGGAUUGUAAAAUCCUUUCACCGGUGAAGAUAAUGACUGUAGCCGGAGAAGAAGCCCCGGCUAACUUCGUGCCAGCCGCCGCCGUAAAAC
rnacentral:rRNA from 1 species